GUAAAUGAUUCUUCCCAGUCAUGACCAACAUGGAGUCCCAAGCUCUUCUGACUGUUGUAGUAAUCAAGGAACAAUGGACACCGUCUGCCUUCUGAAAAAUCAUUCAGCUAAGUUCACUAAAUGAUGUUUUUUUCUCUUUUUAUUAUGCUUCAAAUCUUCAGGAAAUACACUUUGAUUUCUUUUGUUAGCCACAGUAUAAGCUGCAAUCAUAUAUUGUGCUGUUUUAGCAAUAUAAAUUGUUGUGCAGGUCAUCCUAGAUUUUGUUGGUGUGGAACUGUGCUGAGACUGUCGUAUUCUGUCAUACCAGGCUGAAAAAUACAUUCAAAAUGCUGAGUCCUGGCAGUCCCAGGUGGUCUUUCCAGAUGCUGCUUCCACAUCUGCCCACUCUGGGGUAGUAGAGAUUUGCUGACUGCCACACCACCUUAGACUGCAGCAUCACGAUGGUGCUGAAAUCUCUAUAUGGCCAUAGCAGUCAAUCUCUGGACUAUAUAGUGAAGUACUCUUUUCUCUGGGUGGAAUUGCAACAACUUACUUCCAUCUCAUUACUAGAUCAAGCCAGAAAUCUGAAAGAAAGUUUGUCUCUCCAUGAGUAUUAUUGUGGCUGGGAUCCUCAGCACAAGGCCAGUUUUCAGGUUUAGUAGUGUGGUCAAAUGCUGCCUCUAACAGGUCACAGUGAGACUGCCUCUGAAACUAGCAGGAGAUAGACCUGGUACUCCUCUCCUUUCUGACUACAGGUGAUGCAAAGUCGUAUGGGCUCUCUCUAGCUCCUUUGUAGAGCAGGACCAAAGGAGACCUGUGGAUCCCCUAUGUAGUUGGACUUGAUUUCAAGUUGAGGUAGAGGCUUUGACUGCCAGUGGAGAGAGUUCAUGUGAAUCAGCAGCCUAUAACUCAUAUUAAGAAGCUUCCUUUUUUAAUCAUUGCAGUUUGAUAUGAAAGUUAAAAUAACCACUGCUGCUGUGAGGGACAGCAAAGGACAACACCAGAAAUGGUUUGGUGCUUGCGAACACUUAAUCUGUUAUAUGUCAAAGAUCUGCUGAAGACCUAAGCAGGCCAAGGAGGUGGGAACCUCAGAGCCUAUGAGAUUUGCAGCCAGGAAGCCAAAGAUUCUAAAAGUUCCUCUUGCGUGCUGGAGAUGUCUGAGCUCCAUAAGUUCUUGAUUCUGGUGGCCCCAGGAAAGUGGCAAUCCUUCAUUAAGAAAGUCCCAGACUACCUCUGGAUCCUGGACUCCCCACAGUGAUACUUGUCUCCACUUCGGAAACCUUAUGUUGGGUUCAAGUUCAUUGGGAGGUCAAGGGGGGCAAUGGAUUCUCCUGGAGAUGGGCUAUGCAGAAAUACUGAAGAAGCAGAGAUAAGCUGACCCACCUCUUAACAGUGUGUCAUAGUUGAAAUGUUAUUAAAGGAAGUCUUCAAAGAAUUAAUGUUUAUACUUUGCUAUAUGCAGCUUUCAACUUUUUUUUUUUUAAGAUAGGAAUUAUAGUCAAAUCUUCAUUCUGUUUUCAUUAAAUUCAUUCUUGCCUUGAAAUGGGAUCAAUUUCUGGAAAUUAAAAUAUUUCUGUCUUUUCUAUUAUUAUUAUUUAUUUAUUUAAACAUAUAGAUUACUAUAGCCUGAAAUGAAAUAUCACAAUGCUUGAAACUCAUAGUUCACUUGGAAUGCAGUACUAUGCCUUGGUAAGAUCAAUUUAUAUAAACUCCUAAAAGUAUUGAUAUGUGAAGCUCUCCAACAGACAGAAAAACACAUUUUAUUUAUUUAUUUAUUUAUUUUUUUAAUGUAAACUUAACCAAAACAAAGUUUCUUCAAUAACCUCAGGAAAAUUAAUAACAGUGAGAUCUUUCCUUAUAUCCUUUCAAUGUUGUUAUGUAAAAUAAGUUUAUAUAUAUAUAUAUAUAUACACAAAGAUAUUCCAACUAAUAAAACUAUAACAAUUGUUUAAGAAAAUUUCUUAACUGACUCAUUUGCUUCCCUUGAAAGAUGAGAAAGAUGUUGUAAAAAAUAUUCCUCUCCCCGCCCCUGGGAGAAUAAUUGUGUGCAAAUAUAUUUUCCCUAGGGAAAAUUCUGACCAAAAUAAUGUUUAUUUACAGCUAACAUUCUCCCAGAAGAAAAAAACAAA